rnacentral:rRNA from 2 species
UCAAAUGAAUUGACGGGGGCCCGCACAAGCGGUGGAGCAUGUGGUUUAAUUCGAUGCAACGCGAAGAACCUUACCUGGUCUUGACAUCCACAGAAGAAUCCAGAGAUGGAUUUGUGCCUUCGGGAACUGUGAGACAGGUGCUGCAUGGCUGUCGUCAGCUCGUGUUGUGAAAUGUUGGGUUAAGUCCCGCAACGAGCGCAACCCUUAUCCUUUGUUGCC